GGCAGGUCACAGGAGGACAGUCCUGAGCAAGGGCACUCUCAGGGCCGCAUACAACCUCCUCCAGAGAACUGCAUACCCGGAUCCAAAACCACACUGUUCACCUCAAAAGGGAUAAAACAGAGUUUAUUCUGGAACCAAAGUGACUGCCAGCCGUGUCUCGCGGACAAUUACCAGGAACCUGUGUAUGGAGCUGGCCAGAGCCCAUCCAUCCGUCCCCCAGGGUUCCAGCGAUGCCUAGGACUUCAGGCUUGGAUCCCCCCAUCUACAUCACCUACGGAAACUGCAUCGUCCAUACCUCCUGGCUCCCCUUUGGGAUACAUCUUGAAACCUCUGACCCCUUCACCUAGCGCCCAACUUAAAAGCCUCUAAACUUAUCCACCUUUGCAGCCAAAUCUGGCUCCAAAUGCAGCUGACCAAAGUGAUGCCGGGCGGGGGAGGGGAGCGCAUGGAAAAGGAUUUCCCAUUCCUUCCCUCCAAGCCCUGUUUGUUUUUUUCUGCUCUCCCUCACGGUCAGUACACACCUGAUCUCCCCUGCAGCAUCCACUCCAAGUCUCCUAAGUAUGUGAAUUGUUUGUUUGUGAAUUUGAUUCCAAACUCUAGAGUCUGAUUCUUCAGCUGCUUCUUCCCUCUGGCCUGCCAUGCCCUCCAUGUGGGCACCUAUGUGCUUAUCACUCAGUUCCUGGCUGUUUCUCCUUGUCCUAUGCCAUAAGGGUCUCUCUGACUCCUGGAGCCACCUUUAGGGAUCCCAACUCAUGGGCAACUUCUUUCUUGGCUCUGGCCUUUUACAUGCCUAUGGGUCUCUCUGCUGAAGACACUCACUGCUCCGUUCCCCUGCGCUCUCCUAGCUGUCUCUGGCUCCAGCCUGCAAUCCCUCAGCUUCAGUUCUCAGCUCCCUCUUGGAGUUUAUAGGGGGCUCUGCUUCAGUCUCUCUCUCUCUCUCUCUCUCUCUCUCUCUCUCUCUCUCUUCCUCCACAUACUCAGAUUUUAUUAAAACAGCCUGGCCUCAGGACAGAUCAAUAGCCAAAACACUGGCAACCUUGCUUUCCAAAUUCUCACAAGUCAUAAGCGCUGCUACUGUACAGACAAAUGAUCCCCAGAUACCUGAUACCUUUAACUCGCUCCACUCUAUGCUUCUCUGCUUCCACUCUCGGAAAUCUCUCAUCGCUAUGACGUCUCUGUACUCUGCUCUCAGAAAAAUCUCUUAAGACUAUGCUGUAAACUCGAUCCCAGAAAUUUGGCUUUAAACUUAUAACAAGAGACUUAUUAAAAAAAUCUAUACAUGGAAAAUUAAAAA